GAUGAACGCUGGCGGCAGGCCUAACACAUGCAAGUCGAGCGCCCCGCAAGGGGAGCGGCGCACGGGUGAGUAACGCGUGGGAAUGUACCAUUUGGUGGGGAAUAACUCCGGGAAACUGGAGCUAAUACCGCAUACGCCCUUCGGGGGAAAGAUUUAUCGCCAAAUGAUCAGCCCGCGUGAGAUUAGAUAGUUGGUGGGGUAAUGGCCUACCAAGUCGACGAUCUCUAGCUGGUCUUAGAGGAUGACCAGCCACACUGGAACUGAGACACGGUCCAGACUCCUACGGGAGGCAGCAGUGGGGAAUAUUGGGCAAUGGACGAAAGUCUGACCCAGCCAUGCCGCGUGAGUGAUGAAGGCUCUAGGGUUGUAAAGCUCUUUCGCCGAUGAAGAUAAUGACGGUAGUCGGAGAAGAAGCCCCGGCUAACUUCGUGCCAGCCGCCGCCGUAA
rnacentral:rRNA from 1 species